GUACUGCUGAGGAGUCCCACAAUAGAACGUAACGGCCGUCCAAUGU
rfam:Schistosoma rodhaini strain Burundi genome assembly, scaffold: SROB_scaffold0000142